GACGAACCGAGCGAACGUUGUUCGGAAUCACUGGGCUUAAAGGGCGCGUAGGCGGCUUGCCAAGUCCGGGGUGAAAUCCUGCAGCUUAACUGUAGAAGGGCCUUGGAUACUGGCAAGCUCGAGGGAGGUAGGGGUAUGUGGAACUUCCGGUGGAGCGGUGAAAUGCGUUGAUAUCGGAAGGAACGCCGGUGGCGAAAGCGACGUACUGGACCUCUUCUGACGCUGAGGCGCGAAAGCUAGGGGAGCAAACAGG
rnacentral:rRNA from 1 species